rnacentral:rRNA from 1 species
CACCAGCUCUUCAAGUGGUUGGGACUUUUAUUGGGCUUAAAGCGUCCGUAGCCUGUUUGAUAAGUUCCUGGUUAAAUCCGGCAGCUUAACUGUUGGACUGCUAGGAAUACUGUCUUACUAGAGGGCGGGAAAGGUCAGGGGUACUCCGGGGGGAGCGGUGAAAUGUGAUAAUCCUCGGGGGACCACCAGUGGCGAAGGCGCCUGACUGGAACGCGCCUGACGGUGAGGGACGAAAGGUAGGGGAACGAACGGGAUUAGAUACCCCGGUAGUCCUACCCGUAAACGAUGCGCGCUAGAUGUCGGUUCUGCUCCGAGCAGUACCGGUGCCACAGGGAAACCGUUAAGCGCGCCGCCUGGGAAGUACGCUCGCAAGAGUGAAACUUAAGGAAUUGACGGGGGAGCACCACAAGGGGUGAAGCCUGCGUU